rfam:Triticum aestivum genome assembly, contig: Triticum_aestivum_CS42_TGACv1_scaffold_499624_6BL
GUAGUAUUCCCUCCGUCCCAAAAUUCUUGUCUUACAUUUGUUUAGAUACAGAUGUAUCUAACACUAAAAUGUAACUUGAUACAUCCGUAUUAAGAGAAAUUUAAGACAAGAAUUUUGGGAUGGAGGGAGUACAAA